rnacentral:rRNA from 1 species
AUUGAACGCUGGCGGCAUGCCUAACACAUGCAAGUCGAGCGGAUGAACGGAGCUCGCUCCUGGAUUCAGCGGCGGACGGGUGAGUAAUACAUCGGAAUGUGCCUGGUAGUGGGGGAUAACUUCUGGAAACGGUCGCUAAUACCGCAUACGACCUGAGGGAGAAAGUGGGGGAUCUCCGGACCUCACGCUACAAGAUGAGCCUAGGUCGGAUUAGCUAGUUGGUGGGGUAAAGGCCUACCAAGGCGACGAUCCGUAACUGGUCUGAGAGGAUGAUCAGUCACACUGGAACUGAGACACGGUCCAGACUCCUACGGGAGGCAGCAGUGGGGAAUAUUGGACAAUGGGCGAAAGCCUGAUCCAGCCAUGCCGCGUGUGUGAAGAAGGUCUUCGGAUUGUAAAGCACUUUAAGUUGGGAGGAAGGGCAGCAAGUUAAUACCUGGCUGUGUUGACGGUACCAACAGAAUAAGCACCGGCUAACUUCGUG